AAGUCGUAACAAGGUUUCCGUAGGUGAACCUGCGGAAGGAUCAUUAUCACGUAAUAAUCCACGUAUCAACCUUUUUUAAGUGAACUGUUUGCGCCACUACACAUUUUUUUUAAUGUAGCUUUUCUUUGGUUUAAUAUUAGUGUGUGUGUGUGUGUGAUGUUGGUUUAUUGUUUACAAUAACCCCUCACACUCACCACAUUAUUAUUAUUAAAACAAGAUUUGCUUUAUUUAAAAAAGUGUGUAUGUAUUUAUUUUAUUUCUUUUUAAACCAAUUGAACCAUACCACUUUUAAGAUUUAUGAACUGAUUUAACGAAAGUCAAAAAAGAUUGAAAAGUCUUUUAUUUGACUUAGUUCCGUUAUUUACAUACGAAAACACUAGAACAACUCUUAGCAACGGAUAUCUUGGCUCUC
rnacentral:misc_RNA from 1 species